GACAGAGGAUGCAAGCGUUAUCCGGAAUGAUUGGCGUAAAGCGUCUGUAGGUGGCUUUUAAGUCCGCCGUCAAAUCCCAGGGCUCAACCCUGGACAGGAGGUGGAACUACCAAGCUGGAGUACGGUAGGGCAGAGGGAAUUUCCGGUGGAGCGGUGAAAUGCGUAGAGAUCGGAAAGAACACCAACGGCGAAAGCACUCUGCUGGCCGACACUGACACUGAGAGACGAAAGCUAGGGGAGCGAAUGGG
rnacentral:rRNA from 1 species